rnacentral:rRNA from 1 species
UAUGAGAGUUUGAUCCUGGCUCAGAACGAACGCUGGCGGCAUGCCUAACACAUGCAAGUCGAACGAGAUCUUCGGAUCUAGUGGCGCACGGGUGCGUAACGCGUGGGAAUCUGCCCUUGGGUACGGAAUAACUCAGAGAAAUUUGUGCUAAUACCGUAUAAUGUCUUCGGACCAAAGAUUUAUCGCCCAAGGAUGAGCCCGCGUAGGAUUAGCUAGUUGGUGAGGUAAAAGCUCACCAAGGCGACGAUCCUUAGCUGGUCUGAGAGGAUGAUCAGCCACACUGGGACUGAGAUACGGCCCAGACUCCUACGGGAGGCAGCAGUGGGGAAUAUUGGACAAUGGGCGAAAGCCUGAUCCAGCAAUGCCGCGUGAGUGAUGAAGGCCUUAGGGUUGUAAAGCUCUUUUACCCGGGAUGAUAAUGACAGUACCGGGAGAAUAAGCUCCGGCUAACUUCGUGCCAGCAGCCGCGGUAAUACGAGGGGAGCUAGCGUUGUUCGGAAUUACUGGGCGUAAAGCGCACGUAGGCGGAUUGUUAAGUUAGGGGUGAAAUCCCAGGGCUCAACCCUGGAACUGCCUUUAAUACUGGCAAUCUAGAGUCCGAGAGAGGUGAGUGGAAUUCCGAGUGUAGAGGUGAAAUUCGUAGAUAUUCGGAGGAACACCAGUGGCGAAGGC